GGACGUUUGGUUUUUAGCAGGUGUAGAGACCGUCUGGGCAGCAGAAACAAGACAACUAAUCAUAUUUAGAUACAAUCAAAUGUCCAAACCAUCUCUGAGUGAAUGACAUCAAGGAAACAGGAUCAAAAAGAUCAUUCAUUAUAGAAUGUUUCAUAGUUGGUUAUAUUUUUCAGGUCCUCCUGAUCAUUCUGUUCUCCUGGUUGUGAGGAUGUGCAGAGGCUGUAUUUGUCAGUGUUAAAAGACUUGUGCAGCUGUAUGCAGACAUACAAGCAGCCGACAAAGAGUUCUGGAGCAGGACAGACAGGUAGUUCACAGUGGCUAGGCUAGAAGUUUAUACUUGGGUGGCCAGAAAGUGGCCUCCGCUAUUUUGGAGGGUCCAUACAAAUACACCAGUGUAA